GUGGAGUACUUGUUUUUUUUUGCGGGAUAUAAUUGUGGAGUAUUUGUACAAGUAGCAUGUCAAGAUACGAGUAUUGAUAAAAAAUGUGUCUUUUUGUAACAUAGUGCAGACACAAGCGCUCAUACAUACGUGCAUACACUCACCUCUAUGGACAUACAUGCGCACACCCUACCUCUAUGAGCACCUUCGAGAGACUGAGCCAGCAUAUCAUUUUGAGAUUUACGAAAUCACCAUAGCCGCCUCGCCGUCGACGGGAACGUCUCCUCUUACUAAAAACACAUCGCCGGAAAUCCUGAAAUAAAUCCAGAAAUAAUGCGAGCAUUAUUACUUGAACCCUUGUGGGCCGGAGAUACCAUUGUCCCUAUAACCAUCUAACCACAGAUUGGUUCAAAAAAAUGUCUUGUGAAUAAUAAAACUAGAUGUCGCGUGUGUAUCCAUGUAAUAUCUAUGUAGACACAUAUGUGAUUGGGUGUAUGUACGCCAUCCAGAUUGUCGCAAAUGUGCAUGUCAAACUAUGCAUGCAAAGGAGGGUCCCACUCCCACAUGCAUGUUCUUGUCAUCUAUGUGUGCAUGCCAACGAAGGGUGUCACACGCCUCAUGCCUGUUUGUAUGACCAAUAUGUUGGAAAACCACAAUGCGGCAGAUUGUCGUUCAUUCGCACAGAGCGACCGACAUGGCCCCGCCCAAUAAUUAGUAAAGAAAGUGCUACAGUUCCGGCCCGUUUUGGAAAUGUUCUAGGAUUCUAGUUGUUUUUUUCUGGUUUAAGGAACCAUCUACUCCUAGAACGUAAGGGAAUUUCCAAAAGCAGUUUUAUGCCUUUUUUCUUUUUCGUUUUCUUCCUGUUUCUUUUUUUCCUUUCUUUUUUUUGUUUACCUUUUUUCUUUUUCUUUCAUUUUUUUCCUUUGUUUCGUUUCUCUUUUAUUUCAUUUUCUAUUUCGUUCUAAUUUUUGUUUUUCAACAAAUCUUCAGAAAUCUAAAAAAUGUUCACAUUAAAAAAAAUUGUAUAUUUUUUCUAAAAUGUUCCUGUUUUGAAAUUUUUCUCACUUAUUCGAAAAAACUAGAAUUUUGAAAUAAUCUCUAGUUUGCAAAAAAUUAUCAAAAAUUCAAAAAAGUUUAGAAUUUCAAAUUAAAAAAUGGUCGCAUUUUAUUUUUUGUUCACGAAUUCAGAAAAUGUGUCGGAAUUUCAAAAGAUGUUCCCACGUUCAAAAUUUGUUCACAAAUUCAAGAAAAUUCAUUUUUCAAAAUUUGUUCGCAAAAUCAAAAAAUGUUCCAGUGAUCUAAAAAAUGUUCGCCUUGAAAUAUUUUUCACAAAUUUAAAAAAUAUUCUGGUAUUUUACUUUCCAAAUGUUUUCACAAAUAAAAACAAUUCAUGUUUUCAAAAUCUGUUUACCAAUUCAAAAAUGGUUCAGGGAAUUUCAAAAGGCAUUUGCAUUUUGAAAAUUUUGUUCGUAAUUUCAAAAAAUGUUUGCAUUUUUUUCUUGUUUGUCAAAAAAUGUUUGCAUUUUCAAAAGAUUGUUCAUAAUUUCAAAAAAUAUCUGCAUUAUUAAUUUUUGUUGUUGUUUUUCAAAAAAUCGUUAGUUUUCAAAAAAAAUCGUAAUUUUAAAAAAUCUUCUCCUUUUGAAAUUUGUUCUUUUUUCAAAAAAUCUUUGGGUUUCACAAAAUGUUCUAUGUUUUAUAAAAAAAUUCGGAAAUUAGAAAAUCUUCAUGUUCCUGAAAAUAUUUACUUUUUCCGAAAUGAAAAUCAGGUUUCAAAUUUCAAAAUAAGUUUAAUGUGUUUGCCGCUUAUAGUUCAUAUACGCUUGGUUGCCAUUUUGCACACCUAAUCCCAGUAAUGAUGGUGCCUAGCGAUGUUGUUCUGUAGCAAUAGGAUCUCGGUUCGAUCCCUCACAUAAUUUUGUUUAUUCGAAUUUGUGCUCCCAGGUGUUUAAGUUUUGCCUCUGUUUUUUUUUAAGUUUGGCGCUGCCAAUCAAACACCAAAAUUUGUCUGUUGCAGUGGCUAGCUCGAUGCGCAACCUGCUUCAAGGUCGUCUGUUCAAAUCUCGGUGCCCGUGCGCUCCUUCUUCAGUGUUUUUUUUCACGUCACUAAUGCAGUGCCACCCGUGUCACCGCAAUUGGGCUCGGUCCAAGUGUGCCGCACUGUGCGAAAGGCCGACUCUUUGCCGCAACGAGCGGCAUAUAGGAGGUCCCCAAUAUGUUUAGCAAAUAUGCUCCCAUUUCUUUCACCCGAGCAAAGGAAUAAAAGGCCAUGCACCAACACCCAAGGCCCAAGAGGUGGGCUCGUAUGCGUGGCAGGCAUGGAGAAGACAUAUUUAGGGUUUUAGUUUUGAAUUUUAUUGUAUUAUCUAGCCAUAGCUACAAUUUGCAAUUACGAGACGUGUAGGACUACCGCCUUGUCAGAUCCAUAAGGAAAUCCCAUAGUGGAGGCGUUGACUGGUUUUCCCAUGUCAACGGUAAGUUGCGCCUGGUCAAAGUGAUGUGUUCCACAUACAAGUGGUGUGCAAAAAGAAUCUAACGCCACCACUAAAGGAAUAGUGAUGGCGUACGAAAAAUGCCGAUGGCACCACUAUUUAGAAGAUAUAGCGAUGUUGUGGAUUGGGAAUGACACGUCACGAAUUUAAGUUGUGUCUAGCCAUUUCUCUACUAGUGUGAACAAUCCAAAGCCUAAGCUACCAGGGUCCUAAAACCUAAAGCUACCCGAUCCGCACGCACGGGAUCCGAUGACCCCCUCCCCCUCUUGUAGAGCCGACAGGCUGACCUCUCCUGGCGGCGGCUAGGGUUCUAGUCGCCACAUACUCGAAAGGAAAACACUUUGUUCUGCAAAGCACCUGGCUUCAGGGUUUGGCCACACACUUUUUUCAUCUUCCCAUCUCCCCCCUAGUCAUGGGUGUCGGGCGUUAAUGUUCUACUCCCUCCGUCCCAAAAUGUAAGACGUUUUUUGACACUAUCGUAAUAUUCAAAAACGUAUUACUUUCUCCAUCCCGGUGUAUAAGUCAUUCGCGUAGUACCAUUGUGCUACCUCGUCUCAUAUUAAUUAUCACUGAAAUAGCGUAUUUCAAUGCCAUAUACUCCCUUCGUUUUUAUUUAUUCUGCAUAUUAGCUUUGGUCAAAGUCAAACUUUAUGAACUUUGACAAAGUUUAUAGACAAAAGUAUUAAUAUAUAUAAUAACAAAUCAAUACCAUUAGAUUCAUUAUUGAAUGUACUUCCACAUCAUAUAGAUUUGUUAUGAUAAAUAUUUAUAUUCUUUUCUAUAAACUUGAUCAAACUUUAGAAAGUUAGACUUUAGUCAACUCUAUUAUACAGAGUAAAUAAUAAUGAAGGGAGUACAUAUGUUUGACCGCUCGGGCAGUUAGUACUACUCAGCCUAUGCAUAACCAUGAACUUAUAGCCUGCCUACGCUGGCGCUUGUGUCUGUACAGAUGUUUUUUAAAAAAACCUGCCUAUGCUAGCACAACUAAAGCAUUUAAUCAUGCAUGUGCAUUUUGUCAACAACUAGCGAACGAAAACUACAGGCCAUUCGUAUAUCUGGGCCAGGGGUCCCGUGAAAUUAGAAUGGAUGAUCGCGCGAAAAAUGGAAGAUCCCGCGGAAAAUUACUGUAGAAAUGGAAGAUCGCGCGGGAAGUCUUUUGGCGGCAGGCAAGCAGUGCGCGUCACACGCCUACUAUUACGCACGCAAUGUAAAAGGGUUCUUACAAUUCUUUCGUGUAAACACAGAUUCUCUUGCGAAAUUUUCUGACUAAUUUUUUUCUUGCAUGCCUUGUUGCUCUGUAUGUGUGAGAGAGAGACAGAGAGAGCCCCAAUAGACGCAACCUGCAUGCAAGGUGAAUGACGCGAAUAAAUGCAAGCAGCAUGCUUUGCUGCCAGCCCUUGGAUGAAGGGCACCGGAUGAUAACUCAUCAUGGAAUUAACCCGGGAUUGAUGCCUGCUCACAAAUUGUCAGACCCAACCCCCCAUGAGGAAAAUAGUGGAAAUUGGCUCUCAAUUCACAUCCCUCUUUUGAUGUAAUUUUCCAACCCCUCUAACCAAUCAGUGGACUUCUAAUCUCCUCACCCCUCAAUUCCCAUUCCCCAUCUCUAAUUCUCAGGAACCAAACAUGUCCUGGUUAUGUGAGUUAGAAUUUUUUUUGUUGGAGGUAGGCAGUGGCGGAGCCAGGAUUUGCCGACGCCCCAGGAGAGAAACCAAAGGCUAAAAACUACCCAAAAAAAACUCCAGUUUGAAGGCAUACUAUAGAUGUCCUGUUCCAAAAAGAAUUCAAUGUCCUGUAACAUUAUAUAGAAACAAUUUACUAAAUGUCUAAUUUAGUUUCCAAAUCUAAUAAGAAUCUAACAAACAGUGGCAUCAAGCAACAACGGUGUCAUCUAGCAACCGACAAAAUUCAUCAUCAAACAGUAGCAUCUGCAAACAAAAAUUGGGGUUUGGAAAUUGGAUAAGCUACGAUACCUUUGCUCUUUCCGGCUUGCUGUAGUCUGCUGAGGAAAGAGGCGCCUCCUGAGAAGGGCCACCUCGCCGGCAGUUCGCCGGGUUUGCUGCCUCGCCGGACAGGGCAGCAGCCCACAACGGAGGUGAUUGAAGAGGAUUGAAGGGAGGCGGGCAUGCAGCUGGAUAUGCA
rnacentral:lncRNA from 1 species